rnacentral:rRNA from 1 species
CCUACGGGCGGCAGCAGUAGGGAAUCUUCCGCAAUGGACGAAAGUCUGACGGAGCAACGCCGCGUGAGUGAUGAAGGUUUUCGGAUCGUAAAGCUCUGUUGUUAGGGAAGAACAAGUACCGUUCGAAUAGGGCGGUACGGUGACGGUACCUAACGAGAAAGCCCCGGCUAACUACGUGCCAGCAGCCGCGGUAAUACGUAGGGGGCGAGCGUUGUCCGGAAUUAUUGGGCGUAAAGCGCGCGCAGGCGGUUCCUUAAGUCUGAUGUGAAAGCCCACGGCUCAACCGUGGAGGGUCAUUGGAAACUGGGGGACUUGAGUGCAGAAGAGGAGAGCGGAAUUCCACGUGUAGCGGUGAAAUGCGUAGAGAUGUGGAGGAACACCAGUGGCGAAGGCGGCUCUCUGGUCUGUAACUGACGCUGAGGAGCGAAAGCGCGGGGAGCGAACAGGAUUAGAUACCCGAGUAGUC